GGCAUGUAUACUUUAGUCUUCAUUUAAUUUUAUCUUAGUUAAGAAAUUAUUAAAUUAAAAUAUUUCAUAUGUUAUUUAUGAUUGCUAAUGGGCUAUUAAUGUUUAAAUGAACUCUAGUGUUCCGUCACUUGUGGUAAUGGAACUCAGAGCCGCGUAGUCUUAUGUUUGUCUUCGGAACAAGAUACUUGGAAAAUCAUUCCAGAUAUUCAUUGUGAUUCUUUGAACAAACCAAAGACAGAGCAGCCCUGUCAGAUCCAAUUAUGUACAGAUGAAUGGUACACUAGUGAAUGGACAGAGUGCUCUAAACCUUGUGACACGGGAGUACAGACGAGAGAAAUAACGUGCAUCAAUAACGAACAAUGUGUCAGUAUGAAUUGCGAAGAAAAAAAUAAACCGCCAAUUCGACAAGCAUGCAACACAAAUGAAUGUCCCGAAGUCAAACAAGAUUCUGGAUGUGUGGAUAAAUUCCGCAACUGCAACCUCGUUGUUCAAGCCAGAUUAUGUAGUUAUACUUACUAUCGGAAUAUAUGUUGUGACAGCUGCUAUCCCUUCAAGUAGUGAAUGAUAACAGCUGUCCGAAAUGUCUCCCGCGAUUAUCUUCAAGAUUCGUGUGAAAGAUGUAAGCGUUAAUUAGUUAGAGUUGAUUCGAAAGACAAAGAUUAAGAUUCGAAUUGUUAAGCAUCAGAAAAGAAAACGAAGCGUCUGAAUAGUGCGUAAAAUGUGAUCAGACAUUUUAAGUAUGGAUUAUCUCGCAUUUCUGCAGUAAAAUAGAAUUUUCUUUCGGUUUCUUAUUAUGGAUUAGGCACAAAAAACGAUAAUUUUAAUCUCUAAAAUCGAACUGAAUUUAAUUAUUAGGAAAAAUUAAAGGUGUGAAUUUUAAAAUUUGUUGUUCUUUUAUUUUUUGUUCGAAAGCUUAGGCUUAUAAAUCUGUGAAUACUUAACGCUUAAGCAAAAUCUUGUGUCCGACGAUAUUUUCUCUUUAGAAACGUGUAGGUGCUGUAUACUGUAUGUACACGUAUGAAUGGUGCCAGCAAAGAAAGGUUUCGUUGGGGAUGGAUCGACUAAAUUAUAUAAAACGAUUCGUCGAUACUUUGAAAUAAAAUGCAACAAAUCAAACACGAAAUACGCUGCUGGAUGUGAAAAUAGAAUAAAUUUACACAUAUCUAUAUUUAUUAGAAUAUUGUAUGUGAAAGGGACGUGUUAGGACCCGAGGUUGCUGGCUCCGAUUGUAUUCGUCGAAUCAGAGUGAGAAUAAAUUUAAGCAAUAAAAGAGAAAUAUAUUGUUAAAUUAGAAAAUAUAUAUUUAUAUUUUUAGAAUAGUUUAUCAGAAAAAUUAAAUAGUGUUAAUAAUAGAAAAUUAUUUAAUCUUACUGCAAAUAGACGCAUUGAUGCAACGUUAUCCGCAAGAUAUUGUAAAGAAAGAUAGGCUUAGGCCUAUAUAUAUAUUGUAAUUAUUAUGCAAUGCUAAGAGUCAGAGUUAUUUUAAUGUAAAUAAAAUUUCGUAAUAAAAAUAAUUUUGCCAUUUUCGAUUUUGUU